rnacentral:lncRNA from 1 species
GGGCACUUUGCUAAUAGCUGUGCUCUCUUGGCGUCGUGUCCUCUGACAAGGUCUGCGGCCCUGUGAGCUGGCUCUACAGAGCCGAGGGCGGAGUCCUCAGCCAGGCCGAGAUACGGUGAAUUAAAGUCGGCAAUAGAUUUCUGUGAAAAUGUCAGUUCUUAUAUCACAGAGUGUGAUAAAUUAUGUGGAAGAAGAGAAUAUUCCUGCUCUGAAAGCUCUUCUUGAGAAGUGCAAAGAUGUAGAUGAGAGGAACGAGAAGCAACAAACAAAACUCCACAAAAACAGAAAUCAAGGCAAACAGACAAAAAGCCAGUACAACAACAACAACACGCCAGAGGAAAGCAAAGUUGAAAGCUCUCAGAAUACCACUGGGUUAAUUCUGUGUUGCCAAUUACUCUUGGGCACGGGCCUGCCCUGGAGUAUGGUCUGUAGGCUCAGUGACACUGUAAGUGUUUGGGACCCUGUCACUGUCACAUCUCAAAGCUGUGUGGUUCCUGGUUCCUAGAUGUCUGCGUCCCAGGAUACCCUUCCAUCUGAGCAGACACUUACAGACACUCCCCUGGAACAAAACAGCCUGGUUUUCCCUUUGCCAGCCUGGUGUCAAAUGAUUGUGACUUCUUGGUUAGAGGUAGAAGCUGUGUCUACUUUGACCUUUUAGUUCUGGGACCUUCAUGUGGCUUGAACCUGUCCAGGUCUUGUGCAUGCUGCUACAGUUUCUGUGAGCUCAUUUUGCACAUUUUUUUUGAAUGGUCAGUUAACAAAUUUAAUGUUCAAAUGAUAGACUUUUCCACUUGAAAAAUCUGUUAUGCAUGGUACCUCAGCCUCUAAUGAGUGAUGUGGCCACACAUAUAAUUAAUGUCAUUGCAAGAAUGCCUAUGUUUAUGUGAUUUACUUUCUACUUCUUUUAUACCAGUAUUUAUGCUUAACUCUUUACUUGAUUAUCCUUAUAAUAGCAUUUGUUAAAGUUUGCCAAUU